UGGACCAAUGAUGAUGGCUGAUGGCAUAGGAGUCAUGUGUGAUGAAUACUUGUGUCUGGAACUCUGAGGUCCAA
ensembl:snoRNA